rnacentral:rRNA from 1 species
GUGCCAGCCGCCGCGGUAAUACGGAGGGUGCAAGCGUUAAUCGGAAUUACUGGGCGUAAAGCGCACGCAGGCGGUUUGUUAAGUCAGAUGUGAAAUCCCCGCGCUUAACGUGGGAACUGCAUUUGAAACUGGCAAGCUAGAGUCUUGUAGAGGGGGGUAGAAUUCCAGGUGUAGCGGUGAAAUGACGUAGAGAUCUGGAGGAAUACCGGUGGCGAAGGCGGCCCCCUGGACAAGACUGACGCUCAGGUGCGAAAGCGUGGGGAG